rnacentral:rRNA from 1 species
GUUGGUGGCAAUGGCGAGGUGGGUACACCUCUUCCCAUUCCGAACAGAGAAGUUAAGCACCUCUGCGCCGAUGGUACUUACGCCGCAAGGCGUUGGGAGAGUAGGGCGCCGCCAACA